GCAUCAUCAAAAAGAAGUCAGUCAUUCUAGCCUGGAGCUUUAGAAGACGAAGUAAAAAAGAAGUCAGACAGUCCUAGCUUUGAAUCCUGGCCCAGCCACUUACUAGGUGGGAGACCUUGGGAGCGAGUCCAGCGGAUUCGUGGAAAUGGAUGGAGGCUGCUGAGUUGAGAGACUGAGAAGUGGAGGUACCUAGGAAGGUCCUCCCUGAAAAUACAUCGGGUUGUAAAACCUGGAAAGAAAUACCUCCAUUUGUCAGGCACUCACAGGGCGCUCUCCUCUGGCAGCUCCCAUGUUGAGCGCCCAGGGCAGCGACCAGACGGCGUCCUGUCCUCCUGCACGGGGCCAGAACUGGAUGGUCCCGCGACACAUCGUGUCUGCAGCUUUAGAGGCCUCCCCAGGAGUGCUACCGCGGUCAUUUCUGCCCAGCUGUAAAAUAACACCCAAUCAGCGAGCCGCCAGCUGCAAACUGUUCCGACCUACUCCUCCCUCCCCGGCUUAAUUCCCACCUAUACCAAAGUGGCCCCACGCGGGCAGAAGCGAAAGACGGAAAUGAGGGGAGGCCAACUACUCGAGAUCUGCGCCCGAAGCAGAUUUUCCACGCGCUCAGAGUAGGGUCGGGGAAAGGCCCACUUGGGGCUUCUGAGAGAGAGGGAAGGGCAGGGAAAGGGCUGCCCCCCAGCAAGACACAGUUGGGUGAACAACUGAGUCUUUGCCUCGUUGACAAAGGAGAAUGAGGGACUCGCGCCAGGCUGGCUUGAACUGACUGGAGAAAAGCGACUUCUGUAAUUCAGGGCCCUCCUCGUGCGAAGGAAACUUUGGCAAAGCAGAAAGACAGGCAUGCAGUUUCCAGGCGGAAAAACGUGAACCAUGGGACAUGAUGGGCUCCAGGGCCGUGGAUGCAGUUGCCCGAGGCCCCAGGGCCGCCCCCGGAAGGCCGGGACUGCCAGGGACUCGGCGUGGGGGUGCUGACUGCCGCUCCAGGCCUCGGGGUUCAAGCACUCCAGCAGCAUCCGCUCACCACGCUCCCCGCCCACUUCCAUGAUCACGAGGGGGCAAGGCUAGCCAAUCCGGGGUGGCCACUGCCCGGCCCUGCGAGGACUCGAGGCGCACUGGGAAACUGCGCGGUGCCUAGAGACUCUGGUGCUUCCCCGAGUGGCCCCCUGUGGUGUGGCAUGUCCGCUUCUCUUGGCAUCUGUGAGUAUAACUAUCUUUUUGAUAACAGUCAUCUAGUCUGCUGGCCUUGCUGUACCUAAAUAAUAAUAAUAAAACCAUUAACUACAUUUUAAAACAAGAAACCCUAUGCUCCAGAGGGGUUCCUUCUGCUUCCCAAACAGGUCCCUGCUUUCCUAUGCCCAUGUCUUUUCCUGUGCCUUUCCUCGUUCCCAGAAUAAACUUUCUCUGCCACAUCUGCAUCUUACAAUUCUAUCCAUCUUUCAAUAUAUUCUUGCUGGCAUUGUCUUGAAUCUCUGGUGACAAUAUAGACUUAAAGAUGAGAGUGUGAGGUUCAGAUUGGUUUGUGACUUAUACUAUAUCACACAGCAAGUUGAAGGCGGCAUCAGGCUCGAAGCCCAGCAGGCUUUCUUUGUGCCCCUUCCAAUCAUUCUAUUGGCUUAGGUCAACUGAGUGUGUGCAACAGAAAUGGAUCUUAGUUAACUUGAGAACAAAAGGGAUUUUCCAGAAAGAUGCUGGGGCAGCUCAAAG
rnacentral:lncRNA from 10 species